AGCCCCGCAGUAUAUAGAUACACGGGAUUGCAAAUCCUGAGAAGGAGAAAAAAAGGCUUCUCCCGGGGCUU
rnacentral:tRNA from 1 species